UUUAGAUUAGUAGCUGUGUCAGAAUAAAAAGACAAUAUUAUCGAAUUCACUCAUUCAAUCCGAUGAUGGACUCUCAUGCUACACAUCCACUGCGUCCAGCAUCUGAGUUGUUGCCUCGCGAGGCAGCGUUUGUUAAUGAAGGCAGCUCCGGGAACGUAUUAAACAGCAUUCAUAUGCAGCUGCUUUAUUGAUAACUAAAUAAAUAUUUUAAAACGACAAUACGAAUUGCUACCUAGAAAUGCAAUCGUGUUGAAAGUGAUUUUUUUUUAUUUACACUAAAACUGUGCUCCAGCCGCUUUCUUGUCCGCCAUUUUUAUUUUAACUCCACCAAUCAGAUUCCCCGGGCCACAUGCGCAGAGAAUUGUGGGACAUUAAAAGAAUGCUUCCUUGAUGAAAACCAACUUGAUUAAGGUAUCUCAUGAGAUGGGGAAGUAAAGCAAACAUAUAUGAUUCAGACGAGCCUUGAUGCCUUCGCCUUCCAGUGGUAUGCUGGCACCGAAGACAGCAUUUUAGAGCUUUCGGACGCAGCCACUGUGAGGCUCGGGUCAAAUGAAUUCCCGCGUCUCGACACAAGAUGGCGCCCACAGCCUUUCCAGUGCGACCAGUUUCGUCUCCUUUGUAUGCUUUAAAUAUAGUUUACUCAAGAUGCAUUCAAAGGGGCUAAGGAUGAGAAUAGCCGAUGUCCACCACAUAUGGAGAUAUCUAUCUAAAGAUGCCAUGACACUGGGUCAGCUGAGGACAGUCGAGGGAUGCCAAGAGUUUAUAUGGACCGACACCUUGGAAUGAACAUCUCUGUCAGGUUCACUGUGGCCAAGCUUGCAAUAUCACUAUAAAGAGACAGAUGAGUACAUAAAUGCACCAAUAAAAUUAACUAGUAACACAUCAGAUUAUUAAUUUAAAUCAGAAAAUAAAAAUAAUCAUAAUUAAAUAUAACUAGAGAUGCACCGAUAUAUUGAGCAAUAAUUGGUAUGGGUCGAUAAAAGCAGAAGUUUAUCACACAUAGAAAGUUCAAACUUUAGGGCCACUUUCAUAUGUGGUUUUAAAUCGGAUACAUAUCUAAUGUAUUGCAAUGCAACUUCAGUCUGAACGGCCAUGUUGCAUUUUAUCCGAUUUUCAAGUCAUUUUCAAGACGUUACAAUUCUGCGCUGGAGGAAGUGGCAAGAUGACGUCACGUCGUCUUCUGCGCAUGCGGGUCACUUCAGGCUGUAUACAGUUCACACACAUGAACAGGCAGUCGCAUGUAAAUGAUAAUGUGAACAACAGUGCAAAUAAAUCGGAUUUCAGGCAAAAAUCUGAACUGAGCACUAAGACCGGCAGUCUGAACUAAGCCAUGAAGAAGUGUGUGUGUGAUUGUUCUCCUUCAGGAUGUUUGUAGUGGUGUGUGUGAUCUCUACAGAAAAAUCCAGCUAAGACCAGCAUAAGCUGGUGAGCUGGUUUUAGCUGGUCUCCAGCUUGGUUUUAGCUGGUUUUGCUGGUGUAGGAAGCUGGUUUUGCUGGUGUAGCAAGCUGGUCUAGCUGUGUUUUGGACACAUUUUAAGCUGGUCUAGCUGGACUUAGCUGGUCAGGCUGGAAUACCAGCUGGCCCACCAGCAUGACCAGCUUUGUCAGGCUGGGAGGACCAGCGUAAACCACCUUAAACCAGCUAAAACCAGCUACCAGCUUAUGCUGGUUUUAGCUGGAUUUUUCAGUAGGGAUAUCUACACGUUUGUCUGUGCCGACAGCCUUGGUGCUAAUGCAGUGACCCACUGCGUUCUUGUCAACGUGGAUCACAGCAAACAUCCCCCAAAAUAUACAUCAAAACACUUACAGGAUAAACUGGAAUGUUAAAGUGCAAGUAAAGCAUUAACACACCUCAGUAAAGACGAAGGGUGUGUCAUAUUUGAGGAAGACCUGCCCGCUGCGGACUGCGGCAACAGAGGUGAUAGAAACCCUGAAUGGUCUCCUGAGGUGUGAAGUCAACCACGUGCCAACCUCUGAAACCACAUGGCAGGCCGGGCCAUCCAGGUGCCACAUGUGAUAGUUCCUACACAUUUGAGAAAUGACCUAAGCUUUUUCACAAUGUAAUCUAGCUGUGUCUGAUUAAUGGAUGGAUCAAGAACUUUGCACAAAGGAAUUUGGUGUUAAAAAAAAUCUCAAAUGUUACUGAUAUUUAGGGCUGCACAAUUAUUGCAUCCAUUUAGUGUCUUUUUAAAGUGUGUAUUUAAUUGUUAGUUUUUUUCUAUUUCAUGUCUUUAACAUUAUGGUGCAGUUUCACAGACAGGGUUUAAGACCCUUAAAGUCACAGACUAAGAUACAUGUUUGAGCUGUCUUAACAAUAAAACAGCUAGCAUUGGCCUAUUUUUAAAGAUGUUAGUGCCACUGUGUUGUCACAAGACACACAUCAGCAAGGUGUUUUUGUUAGGUAAAAACAACUUAAAUGUCCUAAUAUAAAUAAGGCUUAGUCCUGGCUCAAUCUAAACUCUGUCCGGGAAACCGCCCCUAUAUGUUAGUUUGUGUACAGUAAUUGCAAAUGUACUGAAACACUGGGUUUUCCCAAUGAAUGAUUCACUGCAGGAGAUUUAAUGAAAAGCUCUCAUUAGUCUCACGGCAGUCAUCAUCUUUGUAAAUAAAGACACACCAAAUUCUCUCACUUAGCACUAAGUCUUGUUAUGAAUUGAUUAUGUUGACCUGCUCAUCAGCCCCAUUUAUGUUACACAUUCCAGUAACGGCCACACAAAUCCUCCUGUGUUAAAUGAACACUGCUAUAAUCCACACCCAGAGUGUUAAAAUGAACACUAAAUCAGUCAAUUGUUUUGCAUUCUUUACAGAAACCAUCACGACACUGCUGUAUUAUAGGAUCAAGAGUGCAAAAGUAAGUCAAAAAUGACAAAACAAACAUAUGAUCAGAAAAAUUAUUACAUCAU